AGAGUUUGAUCCUGGCUCAGGACGAACGCUGGCGGCGUGCUUAACACAUGCAAGUCGAACGGAAAGGCCCUUCGGGGUACUCGAGUGGCGAACGGGUGAGUAACACGUGGGUGAUCUGCCCUGCACUUUGGGAUAAGCCUGGGAAACUGGGUCUAAUACCGAAUAUGACCAUGCGCCUCCUGGUGUGUGGUGGAAAGCUUUUGCGGUGUGGGAUGGGCCCGCGGCCUAUCAGCUUGUUGGUGGGGUAAUGGCCUACCAAGGCGACGACGGGUAGCCGGCCUGAGAGGGUGACCGGCCACACUGGGACUGAGAUACGGCCCAGACUCCUACGGGAGGCAGCAGUGGGGAAUAUUGCACAAUGGGCGCAAGCCUGAUGCAGCGACGCCGCGUGAGGGAUGACGGCCUUCGGGUUGUAAACCUCUUUCAGCACAGACGAAGCGCAAGUGACGGUAUGUGCAGAAGGAGGACCGGCCAACUACGUGCCAGCAGCCGCGGUAAUACGUAGGGUCCGAGCGUUGUCCGGAAUUACUGGGCGUAAAGAGCUCGUAGGUGGUUUGUCGCGUUGUUCGUGAAAACUCACAGCUUAACUGUGGGCGUGCGGGCGAUACGGGCAGACUUGAGUACUGCAGGGGAGACUGGAAUUCCUGGUGUAGCGGUGGAAUGCGCAGAUAUCAGGAGGAACACCGGUGGCGAAGGCGGGUCUCUGGGCAGUAACUGACGCUGAGGAGCGAAAGCGUGGGGAGCGAACAGGAUUAGAUACCCUGGUAGUCC
rnacentral:rRNA from 1 species